UACGACCCUCGGGCACCGCGAGAAAUUCAUAAAAACCCCUCGCAUCUAUAUAAAUAUAUAUUGUACAAACAUUGUGUUAUCACCAACGUCUUUCUCUCUCUCCCCCUUUCUCUGAAACGGUCCAAAAAUAAAAGCUCAAUAAAAAUCUCACGGACAAGCUGGCGUAUGGUAGUAAAAACUCGUCGGGAUAAUAAAAGCGCGCGGGAUGAGAGAGGUGUUGUUGUAGGAGCGGCGCGGAACACAAAUUUGCGGCUGGCCGUCCGGGUUUAACAAAAAAAAAAAUACGUGU